AACGAACGCUGGCGGCAUGCCUAACACAUGCAAGUCGAACGAGACCUUCGGGUCUAGUGGCGCACGGGUGCGUAACGCGUGGGAACCUGCCCUUAGGUUCGGAAUACCUCCCCGACAGGGGUGCUAAUACCGGGUAAUGUCUUCGGACCCAAGAUUUAUCGCCUUUGGAUGGGCCCGCGUUGGAUUAGCUAGUUGGUAGGGUAAAAGCCUACCAAGGCGACGAUCCAUAGCUGGUCUGAGAGGAUGAUCAGCCACACUGGGACUGAGACACGGCCCAGACUCCUACGGGAGGCAGCAGUGGGGAAUAUUGGACAAUGGGCGAAAGCCUGAUCCAGCAAUGCCGCGUGAGUGAUGAAGGCCUUAGGGUUGUAAAGCUCUUUUACCCGGGAUGAUAAUGACAGUACCGGGAGAAUAAGCUCCGGCUAACUCCGUG
rnacentral:rRNA from 1 species